AUUGAACGCUGGCGGCGUGCUUAACACAUGCAAGUCGAUCGGUAACGCGGGGGGCAACCCUGGCGACGAGAGGCGGACGGGUGAGGAACGCUUGGGAAUCUGCCUAUCCGCGGGGUGCAACACGGGGAAACUCGUGCUAAUACGGCAUCAGCUGUACGGAGGAAGGACGGGUACCGCAAGGCCGUGCACCGAGAGAUGAGCCCAAGCCGGAUUAGCUAGCUGGCGGGGUAACGGCCCACCAAGGCGACGAUCCGUAGCUGGUCUGAGAGGACGAUCAGCCACACUGGGACUGAGACACGGCCCAGACUCCUACGGGAGGCAGCAGUGGGGAAUAUUGGACAAUGGGGGAAACCCUGAUCCAGCGACGCCGCGUGGGUGAAGAAGGCCUGCGGGUUGUAAAGCCCUUUCGGUAGGGACGAAAGCUCUCGACCUAACACGUCGGGAGGUUGACUUAACCUACAAAAGAAGCACCGGCUAACUCUGUGCCAGCCGCCGCAGUAACAC
rnacentral:rRNA from 1 species